AUGGCCGCCUUCGCCACCAGGUCGGCGGCCUUCCUCGGCCUCGCCGCCGUGCUCUGUGUCCUCGUCGGCGAGGCGAGCGCGCAGCAGCUCUCGCCCAGCUUCUACUCGAGGUCUUGCCCCAACCUGGCGUCCAUCGUGCGGUCGGGGAUGACCUCCGCGUUGCAGACGGAGAGGCGGAUGGGCGCGUCCAUCCUCCGCCUCUUCUUCCACGACUGCUUCGUCAAUGGGUGUGACGGCUCCAUUCUGCUUGACGACACGUCGACGUUCACCGGCGAGAAGAACGCCGGGCCGAACGCCAACUCGGCCCGCGGGUUCGAGGUGAUCGACGCCCUCAAGACCCAGGUCGAGGCCGCGUGCAGGGCCACCGUCUCCUGCGCCGACAUCCUCGCGCUCGCCGCCCGUGACGGAGUCAACCUGCUCGGAGGUCCCACCUGGAGCGUGCCGCUGGGGCGCAAGGACUCGCGCACGGCGAGUCAGAGCGCGGCCAACGCGAACCUGCCGGGGCCCGGCUCCAGCCUCGCCACGCUCAUCACCAUGUUCGGCAACAAGAACCUGUCGCCGCGGGACAUGACGGCGCUCUCCGGCGCGCACACCAUCGGGCGGUCGCAGUGCCAGUUCUUUCGCAACCGCAUCUACAACGAGCGCAACAUCAACGCCAGCUUCGCGGCGCUGCGGCAGCGGACGUGCCCGCGGUCCGGCGGCAACGGCAACCUCGCGCCCUUCGACGUGCAGACCGCCGACGGGUUCGACAACGCAUACUACCAGAACCUGGUGGGGCAGCGCGGCCUCCUGCACUCGGACCAGGAGCUCUUCAACGGCGGGUCGCAGGAUGCGCUGGUGAGGCAGUACAGCAACAGCCCCAGCCAGUUCUCCGCCGACUUCGUCACGGCCAUGCUUAAGAUGGGCGGCCUGCUGCCGUCGUCCGGGACGCAGACGGAGGUCAGGUUGAACUGCAGGAGACCCAACUAA
rnacentral:rRNA from 1 species